AGACGGGUAGCUGGUCUGAGAGGAUGAACAGCCACACUGGAACUGAGACACGGUCCAGACUCCUACGGGAGGCAGCAGUCGGGAAUCUUCCGCAAUGGGCGAAAGCCUGACGGAGCGACGCCGCGUGAGUGAUGAAGGCCUUCGGGUUGUAAAGCUCUGUGGGGAGAGAAGAAUAAGUUCAAGUUAAUACCUUGAAUGAUGACGGUAUCUCCUUAGCAAGCACCGGCUAACUCUGUGCCAGCAGCCGCGGUAAGACAGAGGGUGCAAACGUUGUUCGGAUUUACUGGGCGUAAAGCGUGUGUAGGCGGCUUCGCAAGUUGGAUGUGAAAUCCCACGGCUCAACCGUGGACGUGCAUCCAAAACUGCGUCGCUAGAGUCUCGGAGAGGAAGGUGGAAUGCUUGGUGUAGAGGUGAAAUUCGUAGAUAUCAAGCAGAACACCUGCGGCGAAGGCGGCCUUCUGGACGAUGACUGACGCUGAGACACGAAAGCGUGGGGAGCAAACAGGAUUAGAUACCCUGGUAGUCCACGCCGUAAACGAUGAGUGCUAGGUGUCACGGGCUUUGACCCUCGUGGUGCCGUAGCUAACGCAAUAAGCACUCCGCCUGGGGAGUACGGUCGCAAGACUAAA
rnacentral:rRNA from 1 species